UCGGCCUGUUUUUUCAAAAACAUAGCCUUUAGCAGUAUAAGUAUUAAAGGUCCCGCCUGCCCAGUGAAACUUUUUAACGGCCGCGGUAUUCUAACCGUGCAAAGGUAGCGUAAUCACUUGUCUUCUAAAUAAAGACUAGUAUGAACGGCUAAAUGAGGAUAAGCCUGUCUCUAAUAACUAAUCAGUGAAACUGAUCUUCCAGUACAAAAGCUGGAAUACAAACAUAAGACGAGAAGACCCCGUGGAGCUUAAAACAAAGUACUAACCACCCCAGGCCCUAGUACCCUGUUUUGAGUUGGGGCGACUUCGGAAUAAAACAUAACUUCCGAGCACAGAACCACCAGUUCGAGCCAAGGCCAACAAGCCUAAGCAAAACACGGACCCGGCCCAUGCCGAUCAACGAACCAAGUUACCCCGGGGAUAACAGCGCUAUCUUCUUCAAGAGUCCCUAUCAACAAGAAGGUUUACGACCUCGAUGUUGGAUCAGGACACCCAAAUGGUGCAGCCGCUAUUAAAGGUUCGUUUGUUCAACGAUUAACAGUCCUACGUGAUCUGUUUUCAAAACCGGA
rnacentral:rRNA from 1 species